rnacentral:rRNA from 1 species
UACGUAGGGUCCAAGCGUUGUUCGGAUUUACUGGGCGUAAAGGGCGCGUAGGCGGCAAUUCAAGUCAUCUGUGAAAUCUCCGGGCUUAACUCGGAAUGGUCAGGUGAUACUGCUUUGCUAGAGUGCAGAAGGGGCAAUCGGAAUUCUUGGUGUAGCGGUGAAAUGCGUAGAUAUCAAGAGGAACACCUGAGGUGAAGACGGGUUGCUGGGCUGACACUGACGCUGAGGCGCGAAAGCUAGGGGAGCAAACGGG